rnacentral:misc_RNA from 1 species
AACUUUUAGCAAUGGAUCUCUUGGUUCUGGUAUCGAUGAAGAACGCAGCGAAAUGCGAUAAGUAAUGCGAAUUGCAGAAUUCCAGUGAGUCAUCGAAUCUUUGAACGCACAUUGCGCCCUUUGGCAUUCCGAAGGGCAUGCCUGUUCGAGCGUCAUUAUCACCCCUCAAGCUCUUCGGCUUGGUGUUGGACGGUUUGGUGAAUAUCUUUUACUUAUUUACCCCUCCCAAAGACAAUGACGGCGGCCUCGUUGGAUCCCCGGUACACUGAGUUCUUCACCGAACACGUACUGGAUCAAGGAUUCACGGGCAACGGUCUGCCUCCCCUCAGGGAGAACUUUUAUCUAAGGUUGACCUCGGAUCAGGUAGGGAUACCCGCUGAACUUAAGCAUAUCAAUAAGCGGAGGCU